rnacentral:ncRNA from 1 species
CAAGCCCACAAACUUGAAUACCACUGCUCAUCAGUAAUACAUUUUAUUAGAGCUGUCUCAACAUUAUUUGCUACAUAAACCACACAGGCAUAAUCUUGAGGCUGGUAAUAGACCCUGACAUGCCAGGCCCAGAUAUUCUGGGAACUAAGUUGCUUGAGAAUGCAGCCCAAAGUGGUGGGAAACUUCAUCUAAGGCUAAAUACCAACAUGAGAUGGACAGUCAACAAGUACUGUAAGGGAAAGUUGAAAAGAAUUUUGAAGAGAGAGUUCAAGAAAUCCUUCUGAUCGAGG